GUGUCAGCAGCCGCGGUAAUACGGAGGAUCCAAGCGUUAUCCGGAUUUAUUGGGUUUAAAGGGUGCGUAGGCGGACCUUUAAGUCAGUGGUGAAAGUUUGCGGCUCAACCGUAAAAUUGCCAUUGAAACUGAAGGUCUUGAGUGUAAAUAAGGUAGGCGGAAUGUGUUGUGUAGCGGUGAAAUGCUUAGAUAUAACACAGAACACCAAUUGCGAAGGCAGCUUACUGGGAUACAACUGACGCUGAGGCACGAAAGCGUGGGGAUCAAACAGGAUUAGAAACCCUCGUAGUCC
rnacentral:rRNA from 1 species